CUGCGUACCUUUUGUAUAAUGGGUCAGCGACUUAUAUUCUGUAGCAAGGUUAACCGAAUAGGGGAGCCGAAGGGAAACCGAGUCUUAACUGGGCGUUAAGUUGCAGGGUAUAGACCCGAAACCCGGUGAUCUAGCCAUGGGCAGGUUGAAGGUUGGGUAACACUAACUGGAGGACCGAACCGACUAAUGUUGAAAAAUUAGCGGAUGACUUGUGGCUGGGGGUGAAAGGCCAAUCAAACCGGGAGAUAGCUGGUUCUCCCCGAAAGCUAUUUAGGUAGCGCCUCGUGAAUUCAUCUCCGGGGGUAGAGCACUGUUUCGGCAAGGGGGUCAUCCCGACUUACCAACCCGAUGCAAACUGCGAAUACCGGAGAAUGUUAUCACGGGAGACACACGGCGGGUGCUAACGUCCGUCGUGAAGAGGGAAACAACCCAGACCGCCAGCUAAGGUCCCAAAGUCAUGGUUAAGUGGGAAACGAUGUGGGAAGGCCCAGACAGCCAGGAUGUUGGCUUAGAAGCAGCCAUCAUUUAAAGAAAGCGUAAUAGCUCACUGGUCGAGUCGGCCUGCGCGGAAGAUGUAACGGGGCUAAACCAUGCAC
rnacentral:rRNA from 1 species